GCAAGGGAAGUAUUUCUUGUGAAAGCUAUUUAUUCAAUGUAUUAGGUUUAUCCAACUCGUUGAUUGAUAGACGGAACUCGUUUUGCUAUUAGGCCCGGCCUUACAACAAACAAACCAAAGUUUGACCUCAAAUCAGGUAGGAUUACCCGCUGAACUUAAGCAUAUCAAUAAGCGGAGGAAAAGAAACCAACAGGGAUUACCUUAGUAACGGCGAGUGAAGCGGUAAAAGCUCAAAUUUGAAAUCUAGCACUUUCAGUGUUCGAGUUGUAAUUUGAAGAAGGUAUCUUUGGAGUUGGCCCCCGUCUAUGUUCCUUGGAACAGGACGUCACAGAGGGUGAGAAUCCCGUGCGAUGGGGAGACCAAUUCUAUGUAAAGUUCCUUCGAAGAGUCGAGUUGUUUGGGAAUGCAGCUCUAAGUGGGUGGUAAAUUCCAUCUAAAGCUAAAUAUUGGCGAGAGACCGAUAGCGAACAAGUACAGUGAUGGAAAGAUGAAAAGAACUUUGAAAAGAGAGUGAAAAAGUACGUGAAAUUGUUGAAAGGGAAGGGCUUUUGAUCAGACUUGGUGUUUAGUACUCUCUACUCCUUGUGGGUGGGGCUCUUGCUUUAUACUGGGCCAGCAUCGGUUUGGAUGGUAGGAUAAUAGCAUUGGAAUGUGGCUUCAUUCGUGAAGUGUUAUAGCCUUUGUUGAUACUACCUAUCUAGACCGA
rnacentral:rRNA from 1 species